CGCCCAGAGCGCUCAGCAGGCCGUGCAUGGCGCUCUUCAGCUUGGAGUCGCACAUCGAUAGAGACUGCAGGGGCUGCGCGCGCACACAAAUCCACAAAGACACGUGGUUUAGAGGCGGGCGGCAGAGCCCAAGGAGGAAGGAAACGUUUGGAUUGAAAAAAAAAAACGAGCAAGUAAACUGAUCACGCUGUGUCACUCACACAUUCUUCGUCCUGAAUGAGCUGAGCGAUGCGGUGAACGACAUCGGUGAGCGCUCUGGCGGACGGGAAGCGGGCGUGAAACAAAACGUGGUUUAGAAACAGAGACGGAUCUGAGACACGAGAGUAGAUGCUUGCAGUGAAGGUUUGGUUCCAUUUGGACUCGGCUGUGGCUGAUAUGAUGGAGGACAUUCAAAUAAAGUGUCCCUGAUCUCUGCCUCUUUUUAAGAGCCUUUGUAGUAAAGAUGUAUCUGUUGGGACUACAUAUGGAAUUCAGCGGCUAGACAGAUGUUGUGCGACGGGCUGACGCCACGUUCCCCAGACCUGGACUUCACGGGAAAGUUCCUCCCCAGCGCGAGACGUCGAAGGGCGUGACACCGGCCGACGGACAGCACCAGAGUCACCAUGUCCUUCUCGAAGCCUGCGGCGGACGGAGGGACAACGCGGAGGGUCAAAGGACUCGGGGGACAAAGGACUGGAGCUCGUGGGAGGUUGGAGUCGCAGGUCAAUUGGAGGGGAAAGAGCAGCUCGCUGACCUGGAACUCGUUGUGUUCUCGUUUUGUGUGUUUAAACAUGAACUGGACCGACGUCCUCAAACUAGGAGAGCAGAUUAACUGCAUGCACGUACACGUUUUUACUUUGAGAGUGUGUUUGUGUGAUUUCGCGUACCGUUGUCAGAGAGAUCCAGACUUCUGAUAGACGCGGCUUCAGAUAUGUGCUCCUGUAUCACCUGGGCCCCUGCGGAACGCAGCUUAACACACACACACACACACACACACACACACAAACACAGGCAUACAGUAGAUUGUUUACUGGAGCUGGAAAAAGACGUUUUUUUUUUUGCAUUUGUGUGUGAACUCUACCUCACAGCUACUGAGGUCCAACUCCAGCCCGGACAGACGGGUGUUGGUGGCCAGACCCUGUAGUAAUAACCUAGUUUGAAACAAAACACACAGGUCUACACACAGCGGACUCACCGUGAGCAAUCCGGCUUCCUCUUGCACUAUAACCAACCUUUUAGAACUGCAGGAAGUGGCAGCAAAGUUACUGACAACAAACACCGUGCCGAUUAACUAGAAGCUGAGCUACUUUUCUUUCUACCGUCGGAGGUCAUCAGCACAGGCAAAGACAAAUAGUUAGAGUAUUAAAUAAAAUAUUUCUAGAGGAAAGUCUUGUUUUCGAACACGGCCUUAUAACUGCGCAAAAUGAAUAUUUAAAUUCCCUCACUUCUACUCAUUAUAGUGCAAUUUAUAUUGUGGUGCAGAACUAGCUUGGGGUGAAAGUCAUUGUUCUACCAAUAAAGCCGUAAUGUGAUGUGAAUCGUAAAAGCGAGGAAAGACGUUCAACGUUUACUUCAAAAGGGAACACAACGUUACGGCAACACGGGAAUAAACCCACCUGAGGGCUUGUGGAGGUAGUUUGGUUGCAGACAGGCCCACAUAUUGGAGCUCAGUGCUCUGACUGAAGAACUCCCGAAUGCUCCUGGUUACCUUCUGCACCUUUCUGCACACAGACACACACACACACACACGCACGCUUAUAACAAGCCACGAAAACACAAACACCAGCUGACCUGAUGAGGAACUCUAAUGGGAAAUAUGGCCUGAAAAGCUGUGCAAAGACACACACAUGAAAACAAGGACUCGUGUAAUACGUGUGUCCAUCGCCUGGAUUGUGUUCUUAAAUCGUGUUUCACCACUUUGUCGCGUUGUGGGACUGUGAAGUUAUGCCAUAGGAUUAACAAGCCACCGGUGCAUUGCUGAAGCUAGUGGACAUUCUGCAGAAACAGAGAAGACUGCAGCAAAGCCCGAACUACAGCAAUAGAGAGCUUUAGGUUUUGCUACAGAAUAAACACGUUUGGAUUUGAAUUGAA